ACUCAAAUGAAUUGACGGGGGCCCGCACAAGCGGUGGAGCAUGUGGUUCAAUUCGACGCAACGCGAAGAACCUUACCUGGGCUAGACAACAGCGGACCGUCCUGGAAACAGGAUCUUCCCUUCGGGGACCGCUGGUUCAGGUGCUGCAUGGCUGUCGUCAGCUCGUGCCGUGAGGUGUUGGGUUAAGUCCCGCAACGAGCGCAACCCUCGUACUUAGUUGCCACCAUUAAGUUGGGCACUCUAGGUAGACUGCCGGCGUUAAGCCGGAGGAAGGUGGGGACGACGUCAAGUCAUCAUGGCCCUUAUGUCCAGGGCCACACACGUGCUACAAUGGGCGGUACAAAGGGUCGCUAACCUGCGAAGGGGAGCUAAUCCCAAAAAGCCGCUCUCAGUUCGGAUUGGAGUCUGCAACUCGACUCCAUGAAGCUGGAAUCGCUAGUAAUCGCGGAUCAGCACGCCGCGGUGAAUACGUUCCCGGGCCUUGCACACACCGCCCGU
rnacentral:rRNA from 1 species